rnacentral:rRNA from 1 species
AGAGUUUGAUCCUGGCUCAGAGCGAACGCUGGCGGCGUGCUUAACACAUGCAAGUCGAACGCGCAGCAUUCUGUAGCAAUACAGGGUGUGGGCGCGUGGCGAACGGGUGCGUAACACGUGGAUAACCUUCCUUGAGGUGGGGAAUAACCCAGUGAAAAUUGGGCUAAUACCGCAUAACGUGACGAUGGCACAUGCUGUUGUCUUCAAAGGCGCAAGUCGCCACAAGAGGGAUCCGCGGCCGAUUAGCUUGUUGGCGAGGUAAUGGCUCACCAAGGCAUUGAUCGGUAGCCGGACUGAGAGGUUGGCCGGCCACACUGGAACUGAGACACGGUCCAGACUCCUACGGGAGGCAGCAGUGGGGAAUCUUGCACAAUGGACGAAAGUCUGAUGCAGCAACGCCGCGUGGGGGAUGAAGCUUCUCGGAGUGUAAACCCCUUU